rnacentral:tRNA from 1 species
GGAGCAGAAGUUUUAUAAUAUCAGGCCUGCAACCAGAAGAAGACGGUAAACACCGCCCUACUCCG